GGCAGGAAAUUAAUUCGGUCAAUUUCAUUAAACCCUACAGAAACAAAAGUUGCUGCUAGUGCCGAACAAUGGUUUCUAAUUUAUGAGAUUAAUAAAAAUUGUCGAGUAAUGGAUGAAUGUAUAGAUGGUAAUACAUGUUACCAACUACUAUGGCAAGAUACCCACACUAUUCUCAUGCUGUAUGAAUCAUAUAUUAAACAAAUGGAUACAAGAACAUCCAAAUUUGUACGUACAUGGGAUGCUUCUGUCCUAGAUGAAAUAUGGUGUGAUUUAUUAAGUCUCUGUUCAGAUUAUUUGUAUACUUUUAUGACAGGGACGGAAGAUAAUACAGUAAUUCUAUGGGAUCAAAGAUUAAGUGAACGCAUUAAAACGUUUGAUAUAAAUUCUGAUACUAAUUCUAUGGAUCCUGUAUUUUUUGUGGAAUUUGAUAGCACCCAUAUAUAUGCUAUUACACAUCGUCUUGGUGUGGUUGAAUGUGAUUUUAAGCAAGGCUAUUAUAGCGCUUCAAGGACGUAUUUUAGCAAUUUUAUUUAAAUAAAAAAAGUUGAUUAACAAUUUUUCUUCUAUUAUACU